AACGAACCGUUUUGAUUCAAGUUUAGAUUUCCUCUUUAAUUUGUCCAUAAACGCCUCCGCUGCGGUUUAGCUUCGCCGACUAAGCUAUCGCAGCCUCCGGCAAGCUCCUCGAUCAGCUCCGAUCUGCUUUUCGUCAACUGGAUCCUCAGCAUUUAGAGAGAGCUCUGGAAGAAUGUGACAAUGAUUUACAUUGUGCAAUCAAGAAGCUGAAUAACUCUUUCCUUAGGAAUAGCUGAGAAAAAGUUGGACUCUCUGGAAGAAUUAUAUGCCAGUGAUAAUCAAGGUAAUAUUGCCAUGGUUGAAAAUGCUGUUGCUUCAGACAGUCCAUUAGAGCCAAACAAGCUUCCAGUUGAUGGUACAGAACAUGUGGACUUGUUUAUGACAGAAAAGAUGAGUGCUUAUUAAUAUGGAUGAUGCCAAAGCCUGUGUCUCAAGAGUGCUGGAGAUUUUAGAGAAAUCCAUUAUGGCACGUACUGCUGAUGAGGUAGCACAAAGAUUUCAGAAGGUUGGUAUCUGUCUCUUACUUAAUCUAAAUGACUAUCAUUUUUCUUUGCUCUUAGGGGUUGAUAGUGCAGUUUCGCUGGUUCCCUGGAGAUAGAAUACCUCAACUUUAAUAUCUGUGCUUAUAGUUAUGUUGGUCAUGAGCUUUAUAAUUGGCAAAAUUCCAUGAAUACUGUGACAUCUCAACUGUAUAAUGAAUGAGAAAAUGUUCCCUUAAUCUGUAGCAUAGAUGCUGUUUUGCAGUGAAUAAAGCAGUUGUAAUGAAGGUA